rnacentral:rRNA from 1 species
GAGUUUGAUCAUGGCUCAGAUUGAACGCUGGCGGAAUGCUUUACACAUGCAAGUCGAGCGGCAGCGCGGGGCAACCUGGCGGCGAGCGGCGAACGGGUGAGUAAUGCAUCGGAACAUGUCCAUGUCGUGGGGGAUAGCCCGGCGAAAGCCGGAUUAAUACCGCAUACGCCCUGAGGGGGAAAGUGGGGGACCGCAAGGCCUCACGCGAUUGGGUUGGCCGAUGUCCGAUUAGCUAGUUGGCGGGGUAAGAGCCCACCAAGGCGAUGAUCGGUAGCUGGUCUGAGAGGAUGAUCAGCCACACUGGGACUGAGACACGGCCCAGACUCCUACGGGAGGCAGCAGUGGGGAAUUUUGGACAAUGGGGGCAACCCUGAUCCAGCCAUUCCGCGUGAGUGAAGAAGGCCUUCGGUUGUAAG